rnacentral:rRNA from 1 species
UACGUAGGGUGCGAGCGUUGUCCGGAAUUAUUGGGCGUAAAGAGCUUGUAGGCGGUCUGUCGCGUCUGCUGUGAAAAAUCCGGGGCUCAACCCCGGACUUGCAGUGGGUACGGGCAGACUAGAGUGUGGUAGGGGAGACUGGAAUUCCCGGUGUAGCGGUGAAAUGCGUAGAUAUCGGAAGGAACAUCAGUGGUGAAGACGGCUUUCUGGGUCCAUACUGACGCUGAGGCGCGAAAGCGUGGGGAGCAAACAGG